rnacentral:lncRNA from 1 species
GAAAGUUGACUUUGGUCAAAGCUGACCAAAAGUCAACUGUUGACCAAAGUCUACAAAUGGUCAAAAUGUAUUUUCUUUUUUUGAUUUCUUUGUAAAUGGAUAUUCAAUGGAAAAUUAUGGGUGAAUUUAGGGUUUAAUAAAUUUGGGUUGACUUUGGUCAAAGUUGACCAAAAAGUCAACUGUUGACCAAAGUCAACAGUUGGUCAAAAAGGCCAAAUUUUGUAUUUUCUUGUAUGGAAUCACAUGUAAUGGUUUA